AUUUCUAGCCGUUGGAUCUUCUCU
rnacentral:sRNA from 1 species